rnacentral:rRNA from 1 species
GAUGAACGCUGACAGAAUGCUUAACACAUGCAAGUCAACUUGAAUUUGGGUUUUUAACUUAGGUUUGGGUGGCGGACGGGUGAGUAACGCGUAAAGAACUUGCCUCACAGCUAGGGACAACAUUUGGAAACGAAUGCUAAUACCUAAUAUUAUGAUAAUAGGGCAUCUUAUAAUUAUGAAAGCUAUAAGCGCUGUGAGAGAGCUUUGCGUCCCAUUAGCUAGUUGGAGAGGUAACGGCUCACCAAGGCGAUGAUGGGUAGCCGGCCUGAGAGGGUGAUCGGCCACAAGGGGACUGAGACACGGCCCUUACUCCUACGGGAGGCAGCAGUGGGGAAUAUUGGACAAUGGACCGAGAGUCUGAUCCAGCAAUUCUGUGUGCACGAUGAAGUUUUUCGGAAUGUAAAGUGCUUUCAGUUGGGAAGAAACAAAUGACGGUACCAACAGAAGAAGUGACGGCUAAAUACGUG